CCACCAACUUUAGUACUCCAAAGUCUUUCAUUAACUUUUUGGUUGCUCCAGAGUUUUCUACCAACUUUACAAGUCCCAAGAAUUUCGCUUCCAGAUUUUUCUUUCCUAGACAUUUCUUUUGGUAGCCUUGAUCCUCCUUGAUCUUUCUAGACUUUUCUAGUUCUUUCAAAUGUCCAUUACUUUUUAAUAGAAAAGAGUAAGAAUUAAGUUUUAGAUAGAUUGAGACAUUUCUAUUUCACCCAAGAAUCG
rnacentral:lncRNA from 1 species